rnacentral:rRNA from 1 species
GCUUACGGCCAUACCACCCUGAGCACGCCCGAUCUCGUCUGAUCUCGGAAGCAAAGCAGGGUCGGGCCUGGUUAGUACUUGGAUGGGAGACCGCCUGGGAAUACCAGGUGCAGUAAGCU